rnacentral:rRNA from 1 species
UACGGGGGGGGCAAGCGUUGUUCGGAAUUACUGGGCGUAAAGGGCGCGUAGGCGGUGCUCUAAGUCGGAUGUGAAAACUCUGGGCUCAACCCAGAGCCUGCAUCCGAAACUGGAGUGCUAGAGUUCUGGAGGGGGUAGCGGAAUUCCUGGUGUAGCGGUGAAAUGCGCAGAUAUCAGGAGGAACACCGAUGGCGAAGGCAGGUCUCUGGGCCACUACUGACGCUGAGAAGCGAAAGCAUGGGGAGCGAACAGG